GAUGAACGCUAGCGGCAGGCCUAACACAUGCAAGUCGAGGGGCAGCACAGAAACAGCAAUGUUUUGGUGGCGACCGGCGGACGGGUGCGUAACGCGUAUGCAACCUACCUUUAACAGGGGGAUAACGGAGAGAAAUUUCCACUAAUACCCCAUAACAUCGAUCAAGGCAUCUUGAUUGGUUGAAAACUCCGGUGGUUAAAGAUGGGCAUGCGUUGUAUUAGGUAGUUGUUGGGGUAAUGGCUCACCAAGCCUACGAUACAUAGGGGGACUGAGAGGUUAGCCCCCCACACUGGUACUGAGACACGGACCAGACUCCUACGGGAGGCAGCAGUGAGGAAUAUUGGUCAAUGGGGCAACCCUGAACCAGCCAUGCCGCGUGCAGGAAGACGGCUCUAUGAGUUGUAAACUGCUUUUAAACAGGGAUAAAGCACAGUAUGUAUACUGUGUUGAAGGUACUGUAAGAAUAAGGAUCGGCUAACUCCGUGCCAGCCGCCGCCGUAA
rnacentral:rRNA from 1 species